GAAGGCCGCUAGCUCAAUCGGUAAAGCGCCGGUCUCCAAAACCGGAGGUUCGGGGGCCAAGCUAGCCCUUCGGGCUGACCGGGUCCCCGGCGGUUCGCCA
rnacentral:tRNA from 1 species